UACGAAGGGGGCGAGCGUUAUUCGGAAUUAUUGGGCGUAAAGGGCUCGCAGGCUGCUUGAACAGUUAGACGUGAAAUCCCCGGGCUCAACCUGAGAACUGCGUUUAAUACUAGCAAGCUAGAGAAAUAGAGAGGAAAGUGGAAUCCCAGUGUAGAGGUGAAAUUCGUAGAUAUUGGAAGAACACCGGUGGCGAAAGCGGCUACCUGGCCUGGUUUUGACGCUAAGGCUCGAAAGCGUGGGGAGCAAACAGGAUUAGAUACCCUGGUAGUCCACGCCGUAAACGAUGACAGCUAGAUGUCGGGGGGUUGCCUCUCGGUGUCGCCGCUAACGCAUUAAGUUGUCCGCCUGGGGAGUACGGCCGCAAGGCUAAAACUCAAAUGAAUUGACGGGGGCCCGCACAAGCGGUGGAGCAUGUGGUUUAAUUCGAUGCAACGCGAAAAACCUUACCAACCCUUGACAUCUAGUGAAAUUUCUAGAGAUAGAUUUGUGCCUUCGGGAACACUAAGACAGGUGUUGCAUGGCU
rnacentral:rRNA from 1 species